CAACUUUUAACGGUGGAUAUCUUGGCUCGUGCAUCGAUGAAGAACGCAGCCAGCUGCGGUAAGUAGUGUGAAUUGUAGAAUUCAGUGAAUCAUGGAAUCUUUGAACGAAAAUGGCGCCCUCGGUCAUGCAGGGAGCAUGCCUGUCUGAAUGUCGGUU
rnacentral:rRNA from 1 species